rnacentral:rRNA from 1 species
CGGGUGAGUAAUGUAUGGGGAUCUGCCUGAUGGCGGGGGAUAACUACUGGAAACGGUAGCUAAUACCGCAUAAUGUCUGCGGACCAAAGCGGGGGACCUCCGGGCCUCGCGCCAUCAGAUGAACCCAUAUGGGAUUAGCUUGUAGGUAAGGUAACGGCUUACCUAGGCGACGAUCCCUAGCUGGUCUGAGAGGAUGAUCAGCCACACUGGGACUGAGACACGGUCCAG